UACGUAGGAGGCGAGCGUUAUCCGGAAUUACUGGGCGUAAAGCGCGCGCAGGCGGCCCUGUGCGUCGGGCGUGAAAGCUCCCGGCUUAACUGGGAGUGGUCGUUCGAUACGGCAGGGCUCUGAGGGCAGGAGAGGCCGGUGGAAUUCCCGGUGUAGUGGUGAAAUGCGUAGAGAUCGGGAGGAACACCAGUGGCGAAAGCGGCCGGCUGGUCUGCAACUGACGCUGAGGCGCGAAAGCUAGGGGAGCGAACGG
rnacentral:rRNA from 1 species